rnacentral:lncRNA from 1 species
UGAAGACAGAGAUGGUUGAUGGGCUACCGCACCCACCGGUGCUGUUGCAGCUAGCAUUUGGUUGUUUGGGUCCUGCGGCUGCUCCUAUACUGCUACUUAGUGCUUGCGCCCUGAUUGUCUCCUGCUUGCUUGCAACUUUGCAAGUCUCCUAGAACUCAUAAUGUUAUGUUAUGCUAUGAUGCGAGUACUAUAUGUAGUCGUGGCGCUCUUGUUAAUUAGAGCUAUAUGGUGAUGCUAGUAUGUUAGAUGUCAUGUGUUUUAAUGGAACACCUGCAUGGUCUUGGAUAUUUUUUUUGGUGCGUACAAGAUGCUAAUUGAUCUAGCUCUUCCAAGCAAAAUCUGGAAAAGCAAUUCUUGGUACAGUUUUGAGUAUGAAAUUCAGUGGUUUCGGUUUUCAAUUCGGCCAAAGGACCGAAAUUCCCAUUUGAAUUUGACUAAGCUCCCAUUUUGAUAAUUCAGAAAAUAAUCUGACUCUAUAUACUACCGAGAUUGCUCAAAUCUUGACCGAAGACAAUUAUUUAGUAUGUACUGAAAUUAAUGAAAUUUCAUUGAAAUUACCAAAGUGGAAGUGUGGACUAUUCUGUUUUUACCAGUAUAUACUUCCUUCAUCUGAAAAUACUUGUCGAAGAAAUGGAUAAAAAUAGAUGUAUCUAGAACUAAAAUAUGUUAGGUACAUUCAUUUUUUCAACAAAUUUUUUAACAGAGGGACUAGAUAGUAAGUUGAUGAAGCAUAAUUGUGUUGGCUUUGUUCAUGCAUUUGGCAACACCAGAAAGGUACUCAGCGGUAUCCAUUCUUGUGUCGCGGUGUGGAUAGUUCUGUGAGGCGGCACUGUUUUGGACAGGGAUGAGCGAUGACAUGCGGAACCUUUCCAAACACCUAUUUUUAAAAGUCCUUCUAAAUGUUAAAGGUUAGUACUUGUUUUUUUAGGAAUAUCGCAUUUUUUAUCAAGGAUAAUUAACACUAAGUGCCUCCGAGAUACAAUUCGGGGUUACAUGAAGAAUAGUCACUGGAGGACUCAGAUGAUCUAGCUAGAAUAUGUGCCGCGGCAUUCGACAAACGAUUUACAUGGCUAAAGCUAACAGACGAGAAGAACGACGCCAACUCAUUGAUAUCAGCAGUGAUGAGCCCCACCGGCAAGGGAUCAAUCGUUGAAGCAUUGAUUUUCUUGAUAAGGGAUGGACAGCCGGAAAACGACCCUUGAAAAGCAUUCCCGGCGGGUGAGAGCCACCUCACGGGGUGGUAACCUCGUCAAUGUGCUCGCAGCAAGCCAACAGGCAAUCUCCGAUGUGGUUCUUGAUUACCGCACCAACUCCCAUCUGCCGAGAAUCCUUGAAGAGUGCAACACCCACGUUAACUGUCACUGCAUCUAUUGGUGACAGAAACCAUUUAACAUGAGAUACCGGGUAUCACGACUUGAAGCAAUUGCAGUCCUACCAUAGUUAUGCACAAUGAAGUCAACAUGAGCCAAAGCUUUCUCAACCACUUUGUAGGGAUGCAUCGUAACAUCAUUGUUUCUUGCAUCAUUCUAGAUCUCCCAAAUGUGCCAAAUUGUUACCACCGAAGCCGUGGCCUCAAGAGAGGUCGCUCACCGAAGGAAACAAAUAUCCACUAUUAGGUAUGAACAAGACCUUUUUAACAUAGAUGGAGGCCUAAUUUCUAUUUCACCACUCACCAUACCUCGCGUGUGAGAUGGCUAACGGGAAUAGAUGCUCAACCAACUCUUGUCUGCUAUAUAAAAACAUGCCCCAGCCUUGAAAAAUGUUAGCAACUGGCAGGGACGAAUCCAAGGGGGGACGAGGGGGGGCUAGACCCCCCCUGACAAACUUGUUUCACCUCAUUAGCGAUUAGGCAGGCUGGUAUUUAGGCAGUGUUUUGACUCGAUUUUCCUCAAUUCGCCCCCCCUGUCCGGCUGUCGCGCAUAACCACGUGAAACCCCCAGGGCCGGCCUAGCCCAUGUACACUACAUAGCAGAUCAAAACCAAGAAAAAAGAAAAGGCCCACCAUCGAAGAGAAAAGGGGCCAGGGUCCAUUGGUCGUGGGACUUGCGGCUGCAGCAGCACGUACACAACCGCUUUGAUUCUCUGCUGUUGCGAUCGUCACGAUUUUAGCGCCGCCAAUCUUCCUAACUGUCGUGCGAUCCAAUCUCCACCCACCGCUCGCCGUAGUAGAGCCUGCCGUCGCGGCCGGCAAAGCUGUCCGCCAAGGAGAGGAGCACGGCACCUGCACCUGCAUGAUCUUCAAUUUGUUCAAAUUUGUGUGGUUGUGCCAUACAGAAACUACAAACAUCAGAAAUAAAUUACAACAUAUUGGCUGCCCUUAUAUUUUUAUACUCGUGUAUAGAUAAGACGAGGAAGAGAAACUGAAAAAUGUUUGCCAAGAGCAUUUGCGUCCAACUGUCCAACCCUAUAGACCCCAAUCGAUCAUUCCUGUCAGCCAGUAAGGAGAUUAUGAAAAGCACCACCACCAUGAGCGACCACGGAGACGACGAUGCACGCCAUUCUCAAUAGUUAACCUUAGCUUCAAAUCUCUGUUUUUUGCUGGUUAAUAUGAAGAUAAUUAAUUGAUUGACAUGAGAAUCAGAGUUGGUCAAUUCAACAUAGUACCGUCGGCCAAAUUAUGUAAUAUAACUAAUUUAGAUACUUUUUUGUCAAAGAUGAAUACUUUCAUAAUAAUUUUGUAGUCUUUAGCUGUUUACACUAACGAAAAUACGAGUCCGGGAUUAUGUUUCUUUGCACACUUUAAAGUUCUGAGUGAUCAUCCGAUGCCCAUCAGUCUAUAAGAGCUCUAGUCUGAAACUCGCCCCCCCUAUGUCAAAUUCCUGGCUCCGUCCCUGGCAACUGGAUGCCCGUCGACAGACAAUCAUGGGUCAGUUUCCAGAGAACGAUAUUCAUCUUCCCCGGAGCAUUGACCUUCUAAAGAGCUUGCCAGUUUUUCUCUUCAGCACCAAAGUCUGACUGCACACCAUGGUCAUUAGAAUUACGAGUAGCAUGAAAUUUCUCAGACUUGGCCAAGUUUUAUGCUGAUCCGACCGAGUAGGAUCCAAACAAUCAUGAGGCCAGGAAACAAAAUUAUCCACCUCAUGCACACUGAUUGGAAUGUGUUACACUACCUUGGCUAUCAUUCGAGGAAAAAAUGGGUGUGCUAGCGGGGUUUCGAACUCGAGAUCGAGGUUUCUCGUUCCUGGUUUCCCCACCGCACUACCAGUAGGACAAGGAAAGACUUGAGACAAAAUAUUUCUUUCUACAAUUACAUUCUUUCUUCAGGGAGCAAGACCUUUUGUGCUAUACGGUAUAUGUGACUUUUAGAAAAAACUUCAAUGAACUUUUUUUUCUUCAAAAUUGAUAAAUUUAUUCCAAAAUCCAUGAACUGUUUUCAAAUUUGUGUACCUUUCUCCAAAAUCAGAUGAACUUUUUUUAUUAUUUUGUGAACUUUUUCUUCAAAACUGAUGAACCUUUUUUCAAAUUGAUGAUUUUUUUCAAAUUUGAUGUACUUUUCAGAAAUUUGAUGAACUUUUUUGGAAAUUCGAUGAACUUUUUUUCACAACCGACACCGUUUCAAAUUUGAUGAACUUUUUUGGAAAUUCAUUGAACUUUUUCCAAAAUUGAUGAACUUUUUUUAAAUUCAAUGAAUGUAUUCUCACUACAAUGAAUGUUUUCAAUUUUUGUGAGCUUUUUUCCAAAUUCGAUGAACUUUUUCCCAAUUCUAUGAUUUUCUUUUCAAAAUCAAAAAAUGUUUUUCGAAUUUAUGAACUUCUUUUGAAAUUUAAGGAACUUUGUUUCAAAAUUGAUGACUUUUUAAAACUUAUGUUUUUUAUUUUUAUUUUUUUUUAAAAUGGUCAAGGGUUAAUUGUUGAACAGAAGAUUGAGCUUGCAAAAGAAUAUGUAAACCCAUAAAACUGUUUUCAUUUCCUACCUAUCUAGACGCAUGCAACCACUAGUACCACUGGAGCUGCUAGUAGCAGCACGACGGCUACCAUGCAUGCAUGUGGGUGGCCAUACUGGCAGUGGCAGAGCUACAGUCAUUUCUCUGGGCGGGCCAAAUAGGUCAGGUUCAGAAGUGCCAUUAAAAUUUUACUCUUACGACCAAGAUUCAACACUAUUCUUGACAAAAAUCUAGUUGGGCAAGGCAGGCCAUGCCCUGGUUUGGCCCAGCCAUAGCUCGGCCACUAUAUACCAGGAUGGCCAUAGAAACACGACAAUUUAACCAAUCGUACAAGCCGAUGAAAAAACUGAUGAAACGGGAGCAACUAAGAUCUAUAUGGGCCGGCCCAAACGGAAGCCUUCAAGCGCCAUGUUCCAGUUCGGGAGCUAUAAGCGCUGGUUAGGAGGUCCCCCAGUGACCCCCUAUGGGCGCGUGAAGCGCUGAAUAGGGGAAUACCAUAUUUACCGGUUUUAGGAGCAUUCUAUGAUGUUUCCAGCCUGUUUUUUUUUCCGGUUUUGGGAACCUUCUAGUAGGUUCCCGAAGCUGGGUUUUUUAUUUUGCAGUUCUUUUUCUUUUUUGUUUUCCUAUUUCUCUUAUUUUUCGUCUUUCUUUUCUUUUUUCUUUUUCUUUUUAUUUUCUUGCACCUUUUAUUUUAUUUAAAAAUUAUUUUAAAUUCCAAAAAACGUUUCUUCAGAAAUUCCAAAAAUCUAGAAUUUCAAAUUUUGUUCGCUUCAAUAGAAAAAAUGUUUGGAGAUUCUAAAAAGUUUAAAAUUUCAAAUUUUGUUUGCUUUUUGAAUUAUCUCCUAAAAUUCAUAAAAAAUAGAAUUUCAAAUAAGGUCCGCAUUUUAAAUUUUAUUCACAAAAUAGAAAGUAUUCAGGAACUUCAAUACAAAUGUUCCUGUUUUUAAAUUCUAUUCACACAUUAAAGAAUGUUCACGAUUCAAAACUUGUUUGUAUUUAUAAAUUUUGUUCACAAAUUCAGAAAUGUUUGACAACUUUAAAAAAGUUCCUAUUAUGCAAAUUUGUUCACAACUUCAGCAAAUGCCACCAUUUGGGGAAAAAUAUCAACUUUAAAAAAAUGUCACGUUGAAAAUUUCGCAAAUUCAAAAAAUGAGUGUAGGAAUUUCAAAUAAAUUUUGUGUUUUUGUAAAAUUUGUUCGUAAUUUCUAAAGAUGUUCACCUUUUUAAGAACAACUCUUGUUUUUCAAAAAAGUUUGCUUUUUCAAAAAAAUGUUCGGAAUUUCGAAAAAUGUUCUCCUAUUCAAUUUUCUUCCUUUUUUAUAAAAAUAAUGAAUUUACCAAAUAAUGUUCGUGUUUACAAAAAAGAGUUUCAAAAUUUCAGAAAAAGAUCAAAUCUUCAGCGGCUUAUGGUAUCUUUUUAGAACUUUUCACAACAUUUCAGAAGAUUGUUCAGAAUUUCAUAAAAUGUUUGCAUUUUAUCUGUUUAUUCACAAAUUCACAAAAUGAUAGGGAAUUCCAAAAACGUUCUCACUUUGAAAAUAUGUUCACAAAUUUUAGAAAAAUGUUUUUUAAUAUUAGUUGGCAAAGUGAAAAUAUGUUCGAGGAAUUGGAAUAAAUGUUCUCAUUUCUAAAAUUUGUCAUAGAUUCGAAAAAAAUCUGUAAUUUCGAAAAAUGUUCCAGCUUCUCCAAUUUUGUUCACUUAUUCCAAAAGUGUUCAUGUUUUUUUAACUUAAAAAAAAUGGUGUUUAAAAGAAAUUUUUCGUAAUUCCAAAAAAUAUUCGUGUUUUGAAAAAAUUGUUCGUAAUGUCGAAAAAUAUUUAUGUUUUAAAAUUUUGUUCACAACUUCAGAAAAUAUUCAGGUACUUCAAAUCAUGUUCCAGCUUUUCCCAAAAAAAUCACAUAUUCAAAUCUAUAUGCUCCAAUACACGUACAGAAAAUAACAUGCAAGGGAAUGAUCGCACUAUGGAAAGUUCUUAACUACAAUCGCGAUGCAGCCAUUCAGUCCAAUGGUUAGCAGCGCUUGUUGAGGCUAGGGACGUCGUAGGUUUGAUUCCUUGUGGCGUUAUUUUGGGUUUUGCGAUGUUUUACCUCUGUAGACACACCUCGGGAUCCUCAUAGUGGGCUGGCCCAGUCGGACGCCUCCUGUGUGCGCCACGCUGGCUAUUCGCCGCAAAAUGCGGCACAUAGGGUCUCCCCUGAAUAGGAGGUAUCGUAAUAAAACAACUCAAAAGAAAAGAAAAUUACAACGUAUAAAUAAAAAAGAGCUAUUUUUGAAUUACAGGCCCAGGCCCAGCCAGCCUCUACGAGGGGAGAUGAAGAGGGAAGAGAGAAGCGAGAGAGGAGAGAGGCGGGGGGAGAAGCAGAGGGAAAAGAGAAGCGAGAGAAACGAGAGAAAUCGGUCUCCGCGUCCUACCGCAGCCGCUAUAACGAGCGGGAACUAGUGCCGGGCCCCAUACCCACUCCCCCGUCCAAAUCCAAUCGAAAGUUCAAUUCCAUCCUGAUCGCCGACUUUGUCUGGGCGUGAUGAGUUCCUCCGUCGUGGUCUCCGGCAAUGGCGACGAGGACGCCAGCGUGGGCGAGAACUCCGUUGUGGUCUCCGGCAAGGGCAAGGACGCCGUCAAGCCCUCAUGCACGGUGCAGUAUUCCUGUGUCAAGCGGGUUCGUGAGCGGCGCCUCCUUUCCUUCCUCGUCGACCAAGGCUUCCACGGCGCCUUCAGAGAGUACGUGUAUGCUUUUUAUCUUGAGAUCGACGCCCGCGUGCUUGUUUGGUUUACAUCGCUGGAUCGCUGCGAGCAGGCUGAAUCGCGAGACGGGGGUGCUGUUCAACGUAGAUCACGUCCGGCGGCUGGUGAGGCGGGGCCAAUGGGAGGACGCCCUCAUGUACCUCAACACCUACCUGCCGCCGUUCCUCAGUGAACGUCGGAGCUUCCGCGCCAGGAUCUUCAGCAACUUCCUCCUCAUGCACCACCGCUUCGCCAACGUGGUCGCCGGCAACAAGGACAUGCACCUGGACAAGCAGUACGCCAACGGCCGCAGCAGCUCCACCCCCGCCGAGCGCAGGUUCCGCUCCAUGAACUACUCCAUCCUCACCCCGGACUCGGGCCACCUCAGGGCCGCCAUCGACUGGGACAAGGUGAGGAGCCACGCGGCGUGUCUUAUCCCCGAGUUGGCUCACCGUACUCCGGAGCUGAAACGCCGGACGGUGCUGCCGUCCCGCUGCAUGAUGCCGCACGAUGUACUCCCCAUUGGGACCGGGUAUGAAAGAAAAAUUCAUCAUUCAGACUCGGGUACCUUGAUAACAUAGUCAGUGUCAAUUUGAUCUCACUUCGGCCCUCCUGUCUGUCUGUAACCAUUCACAGUUUGUUCCUGAGGCGUCGGGUGAAGAAACAAGGCCCCCAGCCGCCAAAAACAGACGCUAUCAUCACGGCCAUAAAACAGUAAUGUCUUGUUACCUCCAGGCGAAUUGAUUUAAGCUCUCCUCUGUUCUGCUCUUCCCAGUUUUUGACAACACAUUGACUAAUUCCUUGCCUUUUGCAGCCAACGGUAUUGCCGCCUCGUUAGGGAUUCAAGCAUUGGUAUAAUGUCCCCUUCAGAAAUAUAUGUUAUGAUUAAGCAAUGUAGCUCUUAGAUUCGAUAUAUGUUUGGCAGUCACUAACCAUGUCUUCCUCCAAUGAACCGGCCGGCAGGAUCGAGAGAUGAAGCGCUGGAACUGCUGGUCGAUUUCCUUGGUAAAACCACCUCUCCUCUUCAUGUGUCUUGCAUUUCCACUGAGAACACUGUUUACACUCCACCAAUUAUUUUGUUUCGCGAAAACGAACCACUUUUGGUUACUGUUCUGUCCUGUUCUGUUUUCACUCAUGAACUUGUGUGAUCUUCAGAUGAGACUUUACAAGCUGGCCUGCCUAGAGGGUGCACACUAAGCUAUGACUUUCAACCAAGUGGGAAGGAAGGUAAACUUCAGAAUAAUUCUGUUCAGCAAGUCUUCAGCUAUGAUCACUUACCAGUUACCACUGUCUCUCUCAAUGCACUCUCUGGGCUCUUAACUAGCUCUUUAAUCUGUUUCGAGUCCUUUUGGGCCAUAUCAGCACAUUAUUUCCUCGAGCUGCAUUUUACCUUUUAACUACAGCGUCAUUUUCAAACCCUGCAUAGAAUAUCCCCUUUUUUAUCGGCUGAUGACCUGCAAUAGUUCAGAUGUCUUGGACACCUGCUACGACAUCGGUGAUUUUUCGCUGCGGAAAUUUCCCCUGUGUCUUCCAUUCUAAUAACCUUUAAAACAUGAGUAUAUUAUAUAUAUUUAAUUAAAAAGUAAUAAAGGGCAAGUUUUGUAGAUUUUAUGAUAGUACAGUGUAAUGGUUUUUACUGAAACCUAUACCAAUGAAAAUGGCAGUAAAUUUAUAGGUCAAUUGGAUAGUAGUUUUGUAGACGAAGUCAGUUCCAAUAAGUGGCCCCUACUUUACCUUGCCCCUCUAAACCAAACAUAGGAUAGCACGCAUGUUGCCCUGUAUUUACAUGGUACGUUUCAGCCUGCUAUAUUUUGUGCAGGCAUAUCUUUGAGACUACAGGAUGCUAUGAUCGUGUAACUUUUGCUUAGAAAAAUCAGAGCGCUAAUAAUGCUCAAACUUCUAUUUAGCAAUAAGAACUCUUGGAUAUAUUUCUGACGAUUGAAAGCAUGCUAAAUUAAUGCUGGAUGCAUCUACUAAGAUGCUGCCUUUUUUUUACAGUUGAACUUGCUGCAGAUGCUUCUGAUGCUCCGUCUGGACAAACCAUGCUCGGCACACCCACAGAUAAUUUUAAAGCCCAUGCCACAUCAUUAGUGAAAAUUCCUGGUAAAUUAUAACUGCACUCUUUCUUGGGAUUGAUGUUUUCUUGCAAUUCGUCUGUGUUCGGUUACUUGCUGCAAUUGCUAACUGUCGACUUGUUGCAGGUGCUCCAAUCUGCCAGAUCAUUUCUGGUACCUUGAAAGUUCAUGCUAAAAACCCUGAGAUCUCAACACCGACAAAUGCAGGUAAUUAGUUGAACACCUUUGUUUAGUACGAGGACAUAUGCACCUUCUGGUAACUGUCAGCUUUGUUUGAUCCCUUCUCCGUUACUUGCUAGAGAAAUGUAUUCUGUAAUCAAGUGCCUAUGUUCACCAUACAUAAUGUGUUAUCUGCCUCGUUAUAAGUUCCUUAGUUCCUGUUUCAGAUGUAUUAAUUCAGUUGAGCUGUCCCACCUACUUUCUGCAGUCUUUUUAUCACUAGUUCCUACACAACUUUCUUUGUGUCUUCAUCGGUAGUUUUAGUCUUUCAGGACUGUUUGCAUCUGUGAGCGGCUAAGCUUACAUUCUGCAACUGUUGAUUUCUGUAUUGAUCUUGCAUUCUUGCUAAGAACUCAUUGAUUCGUCCGAAACUAAUGGAAACAAAUCAAGUUCAUACUCUUCUUGCAAAUGUGCACACACCUCUUUCUUCACCCAUGGUCCUUGAAAACUGUUAAAGAACAUAAGACGUUAAAUUUCAGUGAAAUUCUGUUAUGUGCAAUAAUACUUAAUCCAGUUGUUAAUGCUUGGACAGGUGCAAAGCGUUUAAUACAAGCAGGUUGUCAUACUCAUAAUUCAAUGGAUGGACUGCCAACCGUUGAGGAUGAUAUUUAUGCAAAAAGGCAACGAACGACUGGGACAUUUGGUGAAAAAAGUUCGGUAAGGCUCGGUUUUUGUUCUUGCUUAUACUGUUGUGCAUGAAUACCAUAGUAGAAUAGCUUGAAUGGACAAAUUGUGUACGAUGUCGUUAAUAGAGAAGACUGUAUCUUUUGUACAGAUCUUAGUAGGGUGAGCAUUAAAUGUACAACACCAGGUUUUAGUUGAUAAGAUGCAUUGGUUGCCUGUCUUGAAAAGAAUGCAAUUUUUUGUAUUGCGUGGUAGAAAUAGUGUUAUUUUUUUUUGCAUGGUAGAAUUAGUGAUUUUCAGCUUAUCGAGACAUACAUCGACUUUGAUUGAUAAUUAUGCCAAUUCCUACAAUGACUAGAGAUUUCUUCAGCAGUUCAUAACAAGUACCUACUGUUUCCGACAGUAGAGUAGUAGACUGGUGGGUGUCUCUGAUUGAUCUGUAACGGCUUUACAGUAGUGCUGACUGUUACGAAUUUGUAGUGUUUCCAACCAUAGCGCAUUGCAUUUUACAGCAUGAGGAAUGCACUUGAGAGUACCUUCGUUCUUGCUUGUGUUGCGUUAUAUGGAUCAUCCUGUGAGGUACCUAAUGUUUUAGACAAGGUUGGCUGAUGGUAUACUUGUUUCGAGUGCAGGUGAACUUCAGGCCGAAGCUGAGGCCCGUCUGCUCCAUGUGAAGACAGAGAUGAUUGAUGGGCAACGGCACCCACCGGUGAUGUUGCAGCUGGCAUUUCGUUGUUCCGUUCCUGUUGCUGCUCCUAUUUUACUACUUAGUGCUUGCGCCCUGAUUAUGUCACCUACUUGCUUGAGGCUUGCAAGUCUCCUAGAACUCAUAAUGUUAUGUUAUGCUAUAUAUGAUGCUACUAUGAAGUCGUGGCGUUCUUGUUAAUUAGAGCUAUAUAUAUGGUCUAUGCUAGCAAGUCAGAUUUAUGUCAUGUGUUCUAGUGGAACACCUGCAUGGUCUUGGAUUUUUUUUUGGUGC